UGCAAAUGAGGUAGAAGGAGGCUUCCAAGGAGCCUGUAGAGACUCUGCCUCAGCUACAAACUGGCAGGAAGCAGUGAAAGGAGCUGGAACCUCCAGGGAGAAAGUACUGGGAGCAGUUCCUCUGCAAAAGGGGCCUGGAGGCAGAUGCAGAACCCCAAAGGAAGGACUUUCGAUAGUUUUAUGUCUGCAGCAACCUGCGUCAUACCCAGAUGAAUUCAGCAACAGAUAAGUUCCUCUUCUGCCUGAAACUUUACUCAGAUUUUGACUGUUGAAUCUGCAUUCCCAGACACAAGAAUAUUGUCUUUCAGUUCCAUUCCACUUGUUAAUGACUGGUGGCCCGUUAAUGUGUGAAUGCAGUUUCCCGUCUCCACAUCCCAAACUCGGAUUGAAGUGUCAAGAGAUCCACUCACUACAUGGAUGCCAUCAAACUAAAAAAAGGUUAUCCUCAGCCAGAAUUCUCCAAUAACGGCAUGUCUGUGCUGCCUGUAGAAGGUCCUUGGGUUCCAGGAAUGAAAGCACAUAUAGUGCCAACUGUAAAGAGACUCCUGAACAUCAGUCCUGGACAAGCAACAGAAGACGUCUAAAACAAAAUCAAGGACAUCAGUCCUCAGUUUCUGGAGCUAUCCAGGAUGCUACGGACACUGCUCCUCUGCUGACAGAAGUAACACACAUCCAUUCAAUCACUAAAAAUGAAAAACAGAGCGAUAAACACAGGGUCCAAGCAGCAAAUCCACAUCAGUAGCCAAUAGAUCACUGCAGAAAAAAGUUUUGAGAAAAAAAAAUUGGAUAGGAAUGGCUAACAGAAAAACUAUUUGUGAUCAGAAACAGUAGCUAUUGACAAGUGUCCAAUAUGAGGCAGAAUAAUCUUCUCAUUUGUCAUGGAGGUCAGGUUAUCUGCCCUGACCUCUAGUAUGUGUCUUUGUGUUUGUUGGCAUUGUUUUAUUUACAUUUAAUAAAAAACAAAAAAUGAAGUUGACCCACCCACAACCUGCCUUCCAAACAAAACAAAAACACCCAAAAAGGAAGAAAUAACAGUAGUUACUGAAGUUUGGAAAUGUUGAUCUUAUUACGUGAAUUACA